GACGUAGGGGGCCAGCGUUGCUCGGAAUUACUGGGCGUAAAGGGUUCGUAGGCGGUGCGGCAAGUCGGGAGUGAAAUCUCUGGGCUUAACUCAGAGGCUGCUUCCGAAACUGCCGUGCUAGAGUGCGGGAUAGGCGAGUGGAAUUGCAGGUGUAGCGGUGAAAUGCGUAGAUAUCUGCAGGAACACCCGUGGCGAAGGCGGCUCGCUGGACCGCAACUGACGCUGAGGAACGAAAGCUAGGGGAGCAAACAGG
rnacentral:rRNA from 1 species